CAGUCGCCGCGGUAAUACGUAGGGUGCGAGCGUUAAUCGGAAUUACUGGGCGUAAGCGUGCGCAGGCGGUUGUGUAAGACAGGUGUGAAAUCCCCGGGCUUAACCUGGGAACUGCGCUUGUGACUGCACAGCUAGAGUAUGGCAGAGGGGGGUGGAAUUCCACGUGUAGCAGUGAAAUGCGUAGAGAUGUGGAGGAACACCGAUGGCGAAGGCAGCCCCCUGGGCCAAUACUGACGCUCAUGCUCGAAAGCGUGGGGAGCAAACAGGAUUAGAUACCCCUGUAGUCCCUGUCUCUUAUACC
rnacentral:rRNA from 1 species